rnacentral:rRNA from 1 species
UACGAAGGCAGCAGGGGGGAAUAUUGCACAAUGGGCGCAAGCCUGAUGCAGCCAUGCCGCGUGUAUGAAGAAGGCCUUCGGGUUGUAAAGUACUUUCAGUCGUGAGGAAGGUGUUAAGGUUAAUAACCUUAGCAAUUGACGUUAGCGACAGAAGAAGCACCGGCUAACUCCGUGCCAGCAGCCGCGGUAAUACGGAGGGUGCGAGCGUUAAUCGGAAUUACUGGGCGUAAAGGGCACGCAGGCGGUUAAUUAAGUUGGAUGUGAAGUCCCCGGGCUUAACCUGGGAAUGGCAUUCAAGACUGGUUAGCUAGAGUCUUGUAGAGGGGGUAGAAUUCCAUGUGUAGCGGUGAAAUGCGUAGAGAUGUGGAGGAAUACCGGUGGCGAAGGCGGCCCCUGGACAAAGACUGACGCUCAUGUGCGAAAGCGUGGGGACGCAAACAGGGAUUAGAUACCCG